CCUACGGGUGGCAGCAGUGGGGAAUAUUGGACAAUGGGCGAAAGCCUGAUCCAGCCAUGCCGCGUGUGUGAAGAAGGCCUUCGGGUUGUAAAGCACUUUCAGUGGGGAAGAAAGCCUUGGGGCUAAUACCCUCGAGGAAGGACAUCACCCACAGAAGAAGCACCGGCUAACUCCGUGCCAGCAGCCGCGGUAAUACGGAGGGUGCGAGCGUUAAUCGGAAUUACUGGGCGUAAAGCGCGCGUAGGCGGUCUGAUAAGCCGGUUGUGAAAGCCCCGGGCUCAACCUGGGAACGGCAUCCGGAACUGUCAGGCUAGAGUGCAGGAGAGGAAGGUAGAAUUCCCGGUGUAGCGGUGAAAUGCGUAGAGAUCGGGAGGAAUACCAGUGGCGAAGGCGGCCUUCUGGACUGACACUGACGCUGAGGUGCGAAAGCGUGGGUAGCAAACAGGAUUAGAUCCCCUGUAGUC
rnacentral:rRNA from 1 species